GCCGAGAUGCGACGAAUUGGUAAGUCAACUGACUGUAAAUCAGCCGCCUCUGGCAUGGGGGUUCAAGUCCCUCUCUCGGCACCA
rnacentral:tRNA from 1 species